GAUGAACGCUGGCGGCGUGCCUAAUACAUGCAAGUCGAGCGAACGGACGAGAAGCUUGCUUCUCUGAUGUUAGCGGCGGACGGGUGAGUAACACGUGGAUAACCUACCUAUAAGACUGGGAUAACUUCGGGAAACCGGAGCUAAUACCGGAUAAUAUUUUGAACCGCAUGGUUCAAAAGUGAAAGACGGUCUUGCUGUCACUUAUAGAUGGAUCCGCGCUGCAUUAGCUAGUUGGUAAGGUAACGGCUUACCAAGGCAACGAUGCAUAGCCGACCUGAGAGGGUGAUCGGCCACACUGGAACUGAGACACGGUCCAGACUCCUACGGGAGGCAGCAGUAGGGAAUCUUCCGCAAUGGGCGAAAGCCUGACGGAGCAACGCCGCGUGAGUGAUGAAGGUCUUCGGAUCGUAAAACUCUGUUAUUAGGGAGGAACAUAUGUGUAAGUAACUGUGCACAUCUUGACGGUACCUAAUCAGAAAGCCACGGCUAACUACAUG
rnacentral:rRNA from 1 species